rnacentral:lncRNA from 1 species
UAACCCUUAAAGGUCAUGCAGCAGUCUCAAGUAAGCUUGCUGGAGUUCCUUCAGUGGAGCCCAAGAGCCACUGGGAAUUUUCCUGAGAAGAAAGGUCUUUACUUUUUACUGCCUUUGGAAGUCUUUGUGCUAGUCAAAGCCUGACCUCUAAACUUAUUGCUUUAAUAUUCUUGGUUGUAUAUUCUCCAUUGAAGAUCUUUAUGGCUGGAGGUGCAUCUUUGGGUUUGGAGAUUGUUGGUUUGAGAAGACAAGGAAUUGCUGCUUCUUUCAAUGCCACAUGGUAUAUAAUGCAGUGGGUCCUGGAUAGCUCACAGGCCCAGAGGGCAUGUGUUCAAAGCUUGUUUCGUUGCUGUCAGCCCUUCAGUAUGUUGUUUAACACCUUCCGCCCUCGGUUUCUAUCUACCUCUUAAGGUUGUUGUAAAUUUUAAAUGACUUUAAACAUAUAAAGGUUUCGAUCAGUGCCUGGCACUUUAUAAAUUCCAGACACAUGGGAUGUCUUACAUUAACUGUGUGCAUUAUGUCUCAGAUAGAAAUGCUUUUAGAUACUCAGUCACUAACACACAGGCACAUUUUAAAGCCAGUGAGGAGCGUUCAAGUUUCUUGUGAUUCACCCUCAUCUACUUGUUUUCAGAGGGCCAUGGUGGAGAUAGUGGCAGUGAUGCUGUGCUGGGAGAAAAGUGAGGACCAUCCUCUCAAAGCUUCUCAGGAAAGACUUUCUAAGCCUGGAACUGAUCAGAAAGGUCAUGGAGCUGAUCAAGAAGAGGUGAUCCUCUCCUGCUCAGGACUGACCCCUCCCCCAUCCAGGGACUUCUCCCAUCUUUGUGGUAUUUUAUUUUUAUUUUUUUUGAGAAGAGCCUCACUCUGUCACCCAGGCUAGAGUGCAGUGGUGCGAUGUCAGCUCACUGAACCUCUGCCUCCCGGGUUCAAGUAAUUCUCCUGCCUCAGCCUCCUGACUAGCUGGGAUUACAGGUGCACACCACCAUGCCUGGCUAGUUUUUGUAUUUUCAGUAGGGUCGUGAUUUUACCUUG